UGCAUGAAAAGUAUCUUUUGAUUAGUUUUGAGUGUUACUAAAUGCUGUUCUCCUAGCACAGCCUGGCACAGACAGGAGCACAGUUUGCCACUUCUAAUUCAGAAAUUCAACUAGUUAAAUCAGAGAACUGACAACACAGAAAAGUAAAAAAUCACAUGAUCCAAGUACUAAGAACAGUAGUCCCACAGCUGCUCAUUGUGAAAUCAGAGAGAAAGAAACAGAAGAGAAACCGAAACAAGGACAGGGCUGAGUAUGGGAGAGCACAGAGAGGAAACAGGAAAGACGCCACUUCCUACACUGCUCCAGAGCACAUCCUACACGUAACCUGCGACUCGAGCCUCUGUGGCUGCUGGGAACAGCUGCAGGACAGCCUGGAGUUACAUGGACAGGGAAAAACAAGCAAGAAGCAGAGGUAUCUCAGAGAAAUCUUGCUGAAGUUACUCCACCCAAGCUCUGGUCCAAUGAGAGCAAACUAGACUGCAAGAGGAAGCACAGACAAAGGGGAACCAGACCUACUUUCUCUCUCUGGGUCCAGCAGAAUCCACCAUGAAGCAAAACAUCAGCCUGAGUUUGCUUUGGCUCAGAUCAGAGCACUGGAUGCUGACAGCCCUGUUUCUACCAGUGUUUGGUACCUCUGAACCUUGGGCACUGUGCACACUCUGCUCCUCUUUACUCCAGAUUCAACCUGCUCCUGCCCUCUGCAAGAGCAGACUGAAGAAGCCUCCCAACAGGCAUUUCAAAGACUAGAAACAUGGACAACACAUACCACUUUCCACAGACUAGAAUCCAUGCCAAGGAGAACUGCAUCUAUUCAGCUGCUCCUCAGUUUAAGGAGAGGAAGAUAAGAAAGAAAAUAGCUACGGUGAUAAGUAAAUUAAGACUCAUCAGUUCCUGAGAGCAGGAGAAGGAAAGUAACCAAAGCAUUUAUGACAAUCAUGGGAUUGGAGAUGACAGCAGGGAACAGCACUGAAUAAUGACUAAAAAAGCCAGCCUGCACCUGGCACUACUGUACCCAAGGCUGUAAUUUGCUGCAAUCUGAGGUGAUAACGAUGGCAGUAAAUGGGUUACAUGUAGAAACAGAUAGCCCAAGAAUAAGCCACCAACUGCUUUGUAGCAACCACCAUCAUCACUGCAUACUCAGCAGAAGGAGUUGCAAAAUGCUGCGUGCCCUUAGAAAGGAUGCUGAACACUUGGGUGUGUGUGUCUUUGGAUCCUGCUGAGGCAGGCAGUGCUUGAAGGAGGAUCCUGAAUUGCAAAGUGCCUGUUUCGCAUAAACAUAUGCAAAAUUUCAGGAUUCGUGGUAUCAACUGGCCUUAGUAGGGCAAAGGGAAGGGUUGUGGGCAGAAGAAAAUAGACUCAAUGCCAAAGAUUAAGCUGCAAUGAGGCAUUUAGAAAAUAAUUAAUCUUGCUCAAAGUCAGGUUCGAACUACUUCUAAUAUUAUUCUUUUAAAAUAAAAUGUAAAAAUUGCUGCCUCCCUGCAGAAAGCUAUGCUCCUUUAUUCUGAACAACUGCCUACACACCGACUCCCCCAUGUGGCUCAUGCAGCACUGCCUGGAUCUUCUCUUCAAAAUAAUCAACAUUUACUAUUUCCAGCAUCUCCCACAAUAUCAGGCACCUUCCAAAAAAGGUGCUAAAGAAAGACAAGGCCCUUUUGAAUCAAGUGCCCCACGGCAGGAAUAUUUCUUUAUAGCUUCCAUCAAUCAAUAGCUGGCGCCUGCCCUGAAGCACAGGCACCUGGGCAGAGGAGGCUAGCCAUUACCUAGGAAGGAUGAAUUAUUGCUUCUUCUAAACUUGCUAAGCUCUAGGUUCCCCAAGCUGCCUGGGCAAUGCUGAGCUCUUCUCCCAGCAGGAAGGCACCUGGUCUGAACUAAUAACCCACGCCUCUCCUCGUGUAUGCCUGUGUCUUCGCCUGAGGCAACUACUGCCAAUUUAGAGAGUCAGAUCAGCCUCUUCCAAAGGUUAUCCACAAAUGCAAUCAAUCCUUCAGGGCUUGGACUAACCCCUGUAUCAUUUUUAAGUAUAUGUUAGACAAAAUUAUAACUUUAUCACAUCACUACUUGCUCUUCCUUCCAGGCCAGUGGUAAGGGAAUUAAAUUGUGGACCUUUGUGCACCACAGUUUAUCACACCAUAACCUGGCAAGUUCCUUGCUUCACUUUUUUUCUUUCCUUCAGUCUGUUCCUGAUUCAAGACAGAACUUAAUUUCUUGCAUCCACUGCUCCCAUUUCUUUAUUAGCUCUUUGCAAAAAGGCUUGAUGGAGUCAUGCAAAUUACUUCUGCUUUCUUUCACCUCUUAUUUGCUAGUAUAGUCUUAUAGCUGUUGUAAUUAGGAAAGUUUGAUCCUAUUAUACCAAGUUAAAUUAGGUGUUACAGGAUUCUAUUUUAUUCCCUGCUGCCUUACGAAGAGAUAGCAUGAAGGACAGCAGCUGUGAAAAAACAGCUGUUCACACAGACAUUAAGACAAACGGACCUACAGAGAUCGUUUUAAAAUUGAAAUUGAGUUUUCUGAGCUUUGUCUAUGCUUGGCAGAUGAGUGAUGAGAUAGUAAUUGCCCAAACGUACAGCACAGCUUGAGCAACCCUGAUAUCAUCAAGAUGUUCACAUGAAUGAUGUUCAAGCUUGAGGGACACGUGGACCUGACUAAUAGAAAACUACUGUCAAAGCAAACUCAGAAGGGCAGGUGCCAGGAGGAGGCAGUACCAGGGUGGCUGGAAGAGCAACCACUCCAACUGAAUGCAGGGCGGUGCAAUUCCAAGGGCUGGGAGAAGAUCACAAAUUAAGGAGAAAUUCUAUUUACUGGUCCAGGAAAUAAGACUGUAUGGUGGAUUGCAUUGAGAAUUGGCAACACAUUUUAACGAGAUGACAGAUCACUAUCAGGAACUCAACCAGUUUGUUCCUUCCACAGCUCUUAAGUGACCUUUCCUCCCUCUCUGGCAAGGCUUUAUCUUCUCAGAAAUGAGGUGCUCUAAUGUCAGUCUCAUCAGUUGGUUGAUGAUGUAUAAUAAUCACUCAGCUCCUCUACAGGGCACUCUUUCUUAGAGGUUGAUCUUUUCUUACGCUUCAAACUAUCCCUUGGCAUCCUUUCCUGACUGCAAGGCCAGGUGGAACAGGCAUCCUGUGGGUCAGCAAUUGUACCCUGCCAGCUGCUGUCUGUUCCUGUCCACUUACAGCUCUCACUGCAGCCCCAGGCCCUGUGUGGAGUGCGACUCCCCCACUCCUGUGCAGGUUGCUCAAAGGCAGGCAGGUGGCAUCUUAUUCUUGGGCCCUUGGGCAGAAGACAGGGUCAUAUCAAGGACAGCAUUAGCACAGCACACAGUACCGGGAAGUCGUUAAUUGCUUGUAUGGACCAACGUCGCCGGGCAGAGCGAGGAGACAUCUGUACGCGAAAACGUUAUACCCAGGAAAAGGGAAGAGAGACACCAAGAAAAUUAAAGACAGAGGUAAAUAAACUGAAAUGAAAAGUGCCCUGAACCAGCAGAGUAAAAGAUACUGGUCCCAACAGUUCUGUUACACAAUGAACAGUUGCAAACCACGAUCCCCCGCUUUCAUCCUCACACAAUUGCACCACGCAACGUUACCUACGGCCCUGGCAAAGCAAGAGCUGCUGUGCCUGUGCCCCAUACCAGCUUUGAUGGAAGACUCUGGCAACCCCAAAUCUGAAUAAAGUCUUCCACACAGAGUUGUAUUAUUGCAAGAAGCACUGAACUGCUUUGUGUGACCUUGUUCGUACCAUGAAUUGAGCAGAGGACAACACCCAAGUGCCCCUCAUGCCUAAACUCUAAUCAGUUUUACUCCUCUUGCCUGAAGUGCAAACUGCAUCAUUUUUACCACAGUUGUCCAGUGCCAUGGCACAGAAAUCUGCAGGAAGCUAAAUAAACACUCCUGCUUACUCAGAUAUCCCUUUAACAUUCAGCAUCCUCCAGGACUUCAUUCACUGGAACCUGCUGUAACUAUUCACUUUCAUUUUAAACAAUAAAAGCCAUAUGCCAGGAUAUUAGAAGGGAUGUAGAGACACUGCUACUUGGCAGGGCCAUGUGGAAAUUGUCAUUACGGGUUGAGGAACUCAUUCAGAUUGAGUGAGCAAUCAAAUUCACUGACUGAUGAUGCAGGAUAGCUCCAGAGUAGGCUUUCAUUAGGAACCUGCAGACAUUUCAGAACUCAGUGCAGUAUUAUAGCAACAACAAAUGGGAUCUUUCAAACCACAUUACUGUACACUCACUUCAAAAAAAUAUUCUGUGUACAGUUCUGUAAGAGUCAAUACAAUAGAAGGGGUUCUUUGGGUCAUAUGUAAUGUAUGUAACAUUUAUUUUCAGCUGGUGAUAGACAGUCAGGACCAUCAGCCAUGCCUUCAGCCUCUACAUCCCUGUGCACCUCACUGCCGGGGGAACCCUGCAGCCAGGGAGCUGAGGCUGCAGGGCCCCAUGGAAAGAGAGAGCCCUGUGCUACAGGUUCCUCAUCAGGCCUCACAGAGAAGGAGAAAAGGGUUAGUUGAAGGGAAUUUGGUACAGUGGAGAAGCAAAAAACUACACUCAGUCCGCCCACCAAUUCCCUGAUGGGAAGCAUAAGGUCACCACUGUCACCAUCACUGUGUACAGCAAGGCUGAGCUGUCCCUGUGUCCCCACUGGCAUGACCCUCUAACUGUAGGGAGAAAAAACACAGCCAUGGCACCUUCUUUAAGAGACACCCAGGUUUGAAACACUGACGGCAUCGGCACAGUACAGAUACAGCUCCUCCUUUCUGCUGACUGCUGCUCUUCAGUGGGGUUUUUUUGAGCAGUGAAAAAGAGGGAGGAAGGAAGGAGGAGUGUGCAUGUGUGAAUAAAAAGUGAGAAAGAUAUAUAUACAUGUGCAUGUGUGUGUGUAUAUACACACACUUAAAUGAGCACAGAGAGGCUCAGUGCCAGAGUGAGUUUCAAUUUGGUUUACUAAGGAGCUCUCUGCUGGAUUCAGUAGCUCCCCUGCCUUUAUGGGAACAUGACAUCUUUGCUGUCUAGCAAUGGGCAGAUUCCAUUUGUUUGCUAAUGGUAGUGAUGCCAGUGGCUGCUGCUACAUGGGAUUUAAAUACUUGAUUAACGCUGACAAAUUCAGUGUCGGGGCUGAAGUUAUCAGAGUUUAAUGCACAAAAUUUCAACUUCUAUUUAAUGCAAACAUAAAAUCCGAGCUUCAGAGCAAAGAGUUAACUAGACUCAGAGUCUGGGCUUUUUAAAAGCCUCACAAUGAAGUGACAUAAAAAUAUGUAGCAUUGAUCUAACAGAGGCCAUGACAUCAAAUCCUGAAGAAUCAGAAAACCUCUGCUGAAGGGAGAUAUAGGCUUUUUGUUUUUUUUUAAAACUAUGUCAUCUGCAAGAACAUUGGAACUAGCUCCCUGCUAGAGUCCUCACAUUUCUUCCAGCAUGCAAGGAGAUACCUUGGCAGGGGGAAGUAGAACACAGGAAUUUCCCCUGGCUUUCAGCAGACAUGGCUUUGCUCUCUUGAUUUUUUUUUUUUACCCCGUGACAAAAAUCUUGUCGCCAUCUAUACAAGGGCUGGGGAGACAGGUCACAUGAAAUUGCACCAAGCUGCUUCCACA